GGAGAUUUGUGGCUAGGUGGACAAGCUUCUUCUCUGCAUACUAGAAGGUCCCAGGUUCAAUUCCUGGCAUCUCCA
rnacentral:tRNA from 1 species